rfam:Selaginella moellendorffii unplaced genomic scaffold SELMOscaffold_46, whole genome shotgun sequence.
AUACUUACCUGGACGGGUUCUAUUGGUGAUUAUGAAGGCCAAUGGCUUAGGUUCGGCUUUCCCAUUGCACUUCGGCUUGGCCGGCCUACCAUCUUCCCAAAGUGGAGGAGUGGACGUCGUAAUUUGUGGAAGCUGAGGGCUCGCGUACGCGCGGCCCUCUC